rnacentral:rRNA from 1 species
GACAGAGGAGGCAAGCGUUGUCCGGACUGACUGGGCGUAAAGCGUCCGCAGGUGGUCGUGCAAGUGCGCUGUGAAAGCGGCCCGCUCAACGGGCCGAGGCCAGCACAAACUGCACAACUCGAGGUCGGGAGAGGUCUGUGGAAUUGCCGGUGUAGUGGUGAAAUGCGUGGAGAUCCGGAGGAAUACCAGUGGCGCAGGCGGCGCUCUGGGUCGCAACUGACACUGUGACGCGAAGGCAUGGGGAGCGAACGGG